AGGCAUAUCCGUAGACCUUGCCUGGCUGCGUGUAGCCUGGCAGGGGGGACAGUUUAUGCAAGAGAAAUUGGAGUUGAUGCAAGUGCCAACCAGCUUAAUCAGUGACUGGAUAAAUUGCAGUACUCCAACAUUC
ensembl:snoRNA